UCUGUCUUCUGUAGAAUCUCCAAAGAACAGCUCCUCACCAUGGAUUGGAUGUGGAGAAUCCUCUUCUUGAUGGCAGCUGUGAAAAGUGCCCGUGGCCAGGUGCAGCUGGUGCAGUCUGGGGCUGAGCUGAGGAGGCCUGAGUCCUCAGUGAAGGUGUCCUGCAAGGCUUCAGGCUACAGCUUCACUGGUUACUGGAUGCACUGGGUGCGACAGAGCCCUGGACAGGGGCUGGAGUGGAUUGGAGAGAUCAACCCUCAUAAUGGCAAUACUAAUUAUGCUCAGAAGUUCCGGGGCAGGGCCACCCUCACUGCUGACAAGUCUUCCAGCACAGCCUACAUGGAGCUGAGCAGCUUGAAAUCUGAGGACACGGCCAUGUAUUACUGUGCGAGGCACACAGUGUGGUGA